rnacentral:ncRNA from 1 species
GCAUGGGAUAAUGAAAUAAGACCUCUGUUCUGCUUUCAUUGGUUUUCAGAUCAAGAGGUAAUGAUUAAUAGAAGCAGUUUGGGGGCAUUAGUAUUAUGACGCGAGAGGUGAAAUUCUUGGACCGUCGUU